AUACGUAGGGGGCGAGCGUUGUCCGGAAUUAUUGGGUGUAAAGGGCGCGUAGGCGGUUAUUUAAGUCAGGCGAUAAAGGCGACGGCUCAACCGUUGUAAUUCGUCUGAAACUGGAUGGCUUGAGUGCAGGAGAGGGGAGUGGAAUUCCCAGUGUAGCGGUGAAAUGCGUAGAUAUUGGGAAGAACACCAGUGGCGAAGGCGGCUCUCUGGCCUGCAACUGACGCUGAGGCGCGAAAGCUGGGGGAGCGAACAGGAUUAGAUACCCUGGUAGUCCCAGCCGUAAACUAUGAGUGCUAGGUGUAGGAGGUAUCGACCCCUUCUGUGCCGUAGUUAACGCUUUAAGCACUCCACCUGGGGAGUACGGCCGCAAGGUUGAA
rnacentral:rRNA from 1 species